rnacentral:rRNA from 1 species
CGAAGGGGCUAGCGUUGCUCGGAAUCACUGGGCGUAAAGCGCACGUAGGCGGCUUUUUAAGUCAGGGGUGAAAUCCUGGAGCUCAACUCCAGAACUGCCUUUGAUACUGAGAAGCUUGAGUCCGGGAGAGGUGAGUGGAACUGCGAGUGUAGAGGUGAAAUUCGUAGAUAUUCGCAAGAACACCAGUGGCGAAGGCGGCUCACUGGCCCGGUACUGACGCUGAGGUGCGAAAGCGUGGGGAGCAAACAGGAUU